rnacentral:rRNA from 1 species
AACGAACGCUGGCGGCAUGCCUAACACAUGCAAGUCGAACGAGACCUUCGGGUCUAGUGGCGCACGGGUGCGUAACGCGUGGGAAUCUGCCCUUGGGUCCGGAACGACAGUUAGAAAUGACUGCUAAUACCGGACGAUGACUUCGGUCCAAAGAUUUAUCGCCCAGGGAUGGGCCCGCGUCGGAUUAGCUAGUUGGUGAGGUAAAGGCUCACCAAGGCGACGAUCCGUAGCUGGUCUGAGAGGAUGAUCAGCCACACUGGGACUGAGGACACGGCCCAGACUCCUACGGGAGGCAGCAGUGGGGAAUAUUGGACAAUGGGCGAAAGCCUGAUCCAGCAAUGCCGCGUGAGUGAUGAAGGCCUUAGGGUUGUAAAGCUCUUUUACCCGGGAUGAUAAUGACAGUACCGGGAGAAUAAGCCCCGGCUAACUCCGUGCCAGCCGCCGCAGUAA